CCUUUUAAAAACCCUUUCAACCAAUCAUUUGCAUCACCUUUUGCCAAAAUUGGAGCAACUUUAUUUUUGACCCCUGUACAAACUGAAAGUG